GUUGGUCCUGUGGGCCCCUGGAAGGGUCUGGCAGCUCCCACGAUGGGCCCAGGAGCUCUGAGGAGUCUCUGGGCUGAUCUGGAGAUGUCCCAGUAGAGUCUGCGAGGGUCCAGGGAGCCCUCGUGUGGGUCUGAGUGGUCAUCCAGAAGGGUCUGGGGAUGGCCCAGAGAGGACUUGGAGGGUCUGGGGGGUCCUUUGGUGGGUUCUGCUGGUCCUGUUGUCUUCUGGAAGGGUCUGAAGAUGUCCCAGAAGUGUCUUGGGGUGUCCAGGGGGUGCUGCCACUGAGCCUCCCACUGUCCUAUGAGGGGACAAAAGGACCCCCCUGGGGGCAUUGCGUCAAAGUUGGGGACACUGUGAGCAGCUUGAGGACUUCCCAGGGGAAGUGGGGACACCGCGUCACUGUGUCACACCUCAAAGUUGGGGACACCCCCACCGUGUCACACCUCAAAGUUGGGGCAUCUCUGUGUCCCCCCGAUGGUGUCAGACCCCAAAGUUGGGGACACACCACAGUG
rnacentral:lncRNA from 1 species